rnacentral:rRNA from 1 species
UACGUAGGGGGCUAGCGUUGUCCGGAUUUAUUGGGCGUAAAGAGCGUGUAGGCGGCCAGGUAGGUCUGCUGUGAAAUCUCCGGGCUUAACUCGGAACGGUCAAGUGAUACUGUCGGACUAGAGUACAGAAGGGGCAACUGGAAUUCUCGGUGUAGCGGUGAAAUGCGUAGAUAUCGAGAGGAACACCUGCGGCGAAGGCGGGUUGCUGGGCUGAUACUGACGCUGAGGCGCGAAAGCCAGGGGAGCGAACGGG